UACGGGAGGCAGCAGUGGGGAAUAUUGCACAAUGGGCGCAAGCCUGAUGCAGCCAUGCCGCGUGUAUGAAGAAGGCCUUCGGGUUGUAAAGUACUUUCAGUCGUGAGGAAGGUGUUAAGGUUAAUAACCUUAGCAAUUGACGUUAGCGACAGAAGAAGCACCGGCUAACUCCGUGCCAGCAGCCGCGGUAAUACGGAGGGUGCGAGCGUUAAUCGGAAUUACUGGGCGUAAAGGGCACGCAGGCGGUUAAUUAAGUUGGAUGUGAAAUCCCCGGGCUUAACCUGGGAAUGGCAUUCAAGACUGGUUAGCUAGAGUCUUGUAGAGGGGGUAGAGUUCCAUGUGUAGCGGUGAAAUGCGUAGAGAUGUGGAGGAAUACCGGUGGCGAAGGCGGCCCCUGGACAAAGACUGACGCUCAUGUGCGAAAGCGUGGGGAGCAAACAGGGAUUAGAUACC
rnacentral:rRNA from 1 species